rnacentral:lncRNA from 1 species
ACUGCAGCUCCUCUGGCAGCUUUGCAGCUCAGUAGGGAAGCAGAAGAUGUGGAUGUGAAAGAAGAAGUCCGUUGCUGGGACGUUCCCCUGUUCUUCCCCCAGCUGUCCCCUUGCCUCAGCCUGGAUUCCCCUUGCAUUCCUGUAGGAUUCCCUUCCAUCCCCCUGGCUGCCCCUUGCUUUCCACAUGGCUGCCCUUUCCUUUCUCAUGACAGCCCACCCAUCAUUCCCUCAGAGCCCCAAUGUCCCCCCCAGUGUUUCCCAGCAAGACCCCUUGAGACACCCUAUAGCCCCCCACAGAGCCCUGGAGCCCCUCGAGGACCCCCUCAGACCCAGUACACCUCCCCCGUAGCUGGCCCAUACCCACAUGGAGCCCCACAGUCCCCAGCAGCACCCCAUGUGCCCCACUGGGCUUCCCCGGAAUCCUCCUAUUUCCUCCCUCAGACCUCCUUUACACCUCCAAGAUCCCCCCUGGGAACUCGCUGACCCCCAUGUUCUUUGACAGUACCUCCAUCACCAUCCAGUGAACCCCAUAGCCCACCUUUGGCC